UUGAGUUUAUGGUAGUGUCAUAGC
rnacentral:miRNA from 1 species